ACGCUCGACACCUACGGGAAGCAGCAGUGGGGAAUAUUGCACAAUGGGGGGAACCCUGAUGCAGCGACGCCGCGUGAGUGAAGAAGUACUUCGGUAUGUAAAGCUCUAUCAGCAGGGAANAAAAUGACGGUACCUGACUAAGAAGCCCCGGCUAACUACGCGCCAGCAGCCGCGGUAAUCUGAGCGGGCUGGCAAGGC
rnacentral:rRNA from 1 species